rnacentral:rRNA from 1 species
GAUGAACGCUGACAGAAUGCUUAACACAUGCAAGUCCACUUGAACUUCGGUUUGGGUGGCGGACGGGUGAGUAACGCGUAAAGAACUUGCCUCACAGUUAGGGACAACAUUUGGAAACGAAUGCUAAUACCUGAUAUUAUGAUUUUAGGGCAUCCUAGAAUUAUGAAAGCUAUAUGCGCUGUGAGAGAGCUUUGCGUCCCAUUAGCUAGUUGGAGAGGUAACGGCUCACCAAGGCGAUGAUGGGUAGCCGGCCUGAGAGGGUGAACGGCCACAAGGGGACUGAGACACGGCCCUUACUCCUACGGGAGGCAGCAGUGGGGAAUAUUGGACAAUGGACCAAGAGUCUGGUCCAGCAAUUCUGUGUGCACGAUGAAGUUUUUCGGAAUGUAAAGUGCUUUCAGUUGGGAAGAAAAAAAUGACGAUACCAACAGAAGAAGUGACGGCUAAAUACGUG